rnacentral:rRNA from 1 species
AUUGAACGCUGGCGGCAGGCCUAACACAUGCAAGUCGAACGAGUGGCGGACGGGUGAGUAAUGUCUGGGAAACUGCCUGAUGGAGGGGGAUAACUACUGGAAACGGUAGCUAAUACCGCAUACUCUCGGGUGUGCCCAGAUGGGAUUAGCUAGUAGGUGGGGUAACGGCUCACCUAGGCGACGAUCCCUAACUGGUCUGAGAGGAUGGCCGGCCACACUGGAACUGAUACACGGACCAGACUCCUACGGGAGGCAGCAGUGGGGAAUAUUGGACAAUGGGCGCGAGCCUGAUGCAGCCAUGCCGCGUGUAUGAAGAAGGCCUUCGGGUUGUAAAGUACUUUCAGCGGGGAGGCGUUACCCGCGGAAGAAGCACCGGCUAACUCCGUGCCAGCAGCCGCGGUAAUUC